rnacentral:rRNA from 1 species
AUAGUGGCGCACGGGUGCGUAACACGUAUGCAACCUACCUUAUACUGGGGGAUAGCCUUUGGAAACGGAGAUUAAUACCCCAUAGUACAUUUGAUUGGCAUCAAUUAAAUGUUAAAGAUUUAUCGGUAUAAGCUGGGCAUGCGUCCAAUUAGUUAGUUGGUGAGGUAAUGGCUCACCAAGACUUUGAUUGGUAGGGGAACUGAGAGGUUAAUCCCCCACACUGGCACUGAGAUACGGGCCAGACUCCUACGGGAGGCAGCAGUAGGGAAUAUUGGGCAAUGGAGGCAACUCUGACCCAGCCAUGCCGCGUGCAGGAAGAAGGCGUUAUGCGUUGUAAACUGCUUUUAUAUAGGAAGAAAUAGUCCUUGCGAGGAAAGUUGACGGUACUAUAUGAAUAAGCACCGGCUAACUCCGUGCCAGCAGCCGCGGUAAUACGGAGGGUGCAAGCGUUGUCCGGAUUUAUUGGGUUUAAAGGGUGCGUAGGCGGUUUAUUAAGUCAGUGGUGAAAGACGGUCGCUCAACGAUUGCAGUGCCAUUGAUACUGGUAGACUUGAGUGGGAUUGAGGUAGCUGGAAUGGAUAGUGUAGCGGUGAAAUGCAUAGAUAUUAUCCAGAACACCAAUUGCGUAGGCAAGUUACUAAGUCUCAACUGACGCUGA